rnacentral:rRNA from 1 species
CCAUGCUAGUCGCGCGGGUUCAGACCCGCGGCAAAUAGCUCAGUAACACGUGGCCAAACUACCCUGUGGAUCGGGAUAACCUCGGGAAACUGAGGCUAAUCCCGAAUACAGCUUCCAGCCUGGAGUGGCGGAAGCUGGAAACGUUCCGGCGCCACAGGAUGUGGCUGCGGCCGAUUAGGUAGACGGUGGGGUAACGGCCCACCGUGCCGAUAAUCGGUACGGGUCAUGAGAGUGAGAGCCCGGAGACGGUAUCUGAGACAAGAUACCGGGCCCUACGGGGCGCAGCAGGCGCGAAACCUUUACACUGCACGACAGUGCGAUAGGGGGACUCCGAGUGCGAGGGCAUACAGUCCUCGCUUUUCUGUACCGUAAGGUGGUACAGGAACAAGUGCUGGGCAAGACCGGUGCCAGCCGCCGCGGUAAUACCGGCAGCACGAGUGAUGGCCGAUAUUAUUGGGCCUAAAGCGUCCGUAGCCGGCCGGACAAGUCCGUUGGGAAAUCCACGCGCUCAACGCGUGGGCGUCCGGCGGAAACUGUCCGGCUUGGGGCCGGAAGACCUGAGGGGUACGUCCGGGGUAGGAGUGAAAUCCCGUAAUCCUGGACGGACCACCGGUGGCGAAAGCGCCUCAGGAAGACGGACCCGACGGUGAGGGACGAAAGCCAGGGUCUCGAACCGGAUUAGAUACCCGGGUAGUCCUGGCCGUAAACGAUGCCCGCUAGGUGUGGCGCAGGCUACGAGCCUGCGCUGUGCCGUAGGGAAGCCGUGAAGCGGGCCGCCUGGGAAGUACGUCUGCAAGGAUGAAACUUAAAGGAAUUGGCGGGGGAGCACUACAACCGGAGGAGCCUGCGGUUUAAUUGGAUUCAACGCCGGA